rnacentral:piRNA from 1 species
UGGCAUGCCGCUGUGCUUGUUGUCCCUAA